UACGAAGGGGGCUAGCGUUGUUCGGAAUUACUGGGCGUAAAGCGCGUGUAGGCGGGUCUUUUAAGUCAGGGGUGAAAUGCCAAGGCUCAACCUUGGAACUGCCUUUGAUACUGGAGAUCUUGAGUCCGGGAGAGGUGAGUGGAAUUGCGAGUGUAGAGGUGAAAUCGUAGAUAUUCGGAAGAACACCAGUGGCGAAGGCGGCUCACUGGCCCGGUACUGACGCUGAGGUGCGAAAGCGUGGGGAGCAAACAGG
rnacentral:rRNA from 1 species